ACUUUAAUUGAAGAGUUUGAUCAUGGCUCAGAUUGAACGCUGGCGGCAGGCCUAACACAUGCAAGUC
rnacentral:rRNA from 1 species